UACGGGGGGGGCAAGCGUUGUUCGGAAUUACUGGGCGUAAAGGGCGCGUAGGCGGUUGGAUAAGUCAGCUGUGAAAACCACGGGCUUAACUCGUGGCCUGCAGUUGAGACUGUCUGGCUUGAGUGUGGGAGAGGAGAGUGGAAUUCCUGGUGUAGCGGUGAAAUGCGUAGAUAUCAGGAGGAACACCGGUGGCGAAGGCGGCAUCCUGGACCGGCAUUGACGCUGAGGCGCGAAAGCCAGGGGAGCAAACAGG
rnacentral:rRNA from 1 species